rnacentral:lncRNA from 1 species
UGGUGACAUGUAUGGAUUGCUACAACAACGAAAUCAUCGUUUAAAUUGGAACCAAUUUUUUUCCAUAUAAAAUGGUCAAGUCAAUUUUUACUUACAGAUCUCCUCCUGCUCUAACCGCAACAUGUGGAUCCUCCUCAUCGUAAAGCUUUGCCAAUCCAAAAUCUGAUAUUUUCGGAUUACAACUUGCAUGAAGCAGAAUAUUAUUGGCUUUUAUGUUUCUGUGUAUUAUUUGAGGAUUCCUUUCAUGAAGAUACUUCAAACCCUUCGCUAUUCCCUUGCAGAUUAUAAAUCUUUUCGGCCAAUCAAUUCGCACUGUGGAAUGUGUACAUGCAAAUCCCCAAGUCAAUAGUCAGCAGUCUGCCACAUUCUGGUUGUGAAAAAAUGGUUGGCUAAGGAUCACCAUAAGGUUUAAUUAGUCCUUCCAUUAGAAGAACUAAACUCAACUAUCACGUUUAAUAUGUAAGUGUAGGGCUUGAAAGAUCAAACUAUUCAUUGAAAAUUCUGAAGAUUCAGAGAUAUAUCCUCGUUUGGAACGCGGUGCAAACAGCGUUUCAAAAAUUUUAUUUUUUUUAUUAAAAAUAAUUUUUUUAUGUUUCAAAUCAUUUUGAUGUAUCAAUAUCAAAAAUAAAUUUUAAAAAAUAAACAAUUUUUAUUUUUUUGAUGCAUUUCUAAAUAAAAAGCACUUUGAACCGUUAUCAUAUCACAAUCUCAAAUAGGCUUGUACUCAGUACAAGGAAGGGAUAAUGUUGUAUAGAGAAAAUGAAAGGUGGACAUAAAACCAUAUAAACUUUAAAAAUUAACAUACCAUCCAUCCUAAAGUCAUUUAGAUGUGCCAUUUUAUUGAUUAUUUUUUGGAUUCCCUUUGAAAAAUAAGAAAAACACAAAACAAAAUUCAUAAUUCAUUAAAAAAUGAUAAAUAUAUUCACCUUCUCCUUGUAUCUAUUUUUUUUAAAAAAAAAGUAUUGGAAAAAAACUAUAAAAUGUUACUAGAUAUUCUCCUAGUACCAUAAAAGUUCACAUUAAAUCGGUAUAUCAGCUGGAUGUGUAAUUAAUACUUAUUUAAAAAAACAUUAUUCUUUAACUCAAAAGUGUCAAAGUUUUCUUAAUGGACCAUGACUUUGUGUAUAAACACUUUAUUUUUAUCUUUUCUUAAUGGAGCAUGUUCUUUAUGAAAAUGGGGUCAUAAUACAUGAAUUGCACGAUGCACAUCUCUACUAUAAUGAGACUUAAGAGUUAAUAGAAGAUUAUUUAAAGACUCUCUAUGUUUUGAAAUAAAUCCCACCUUUUGAUAAUUUUCACAGGUUUUGUAGAAUGCAUGUGAGUCUUUAAAUAUGGUGGGCUAGUAAAAUCCACUUUGUAAGAUUUUUGCAGUUGUCUCUCUUAAUGAGAAAUGACCCCCACAUGUCUCGGAAUGCUAAAAGUUUAUGACACUACUUACCUCAUUGUCAAGAAUACAUCUUUGAUAUAUUUUAUUAGAACAAUAUUUGAAUAAGUAAGGGUCAUGCCAAUAAAAAUUAUGCGCGACACUUAAAAACUUUCUUUUGUCUUGGGUAUUCAAAUGUGCUGGCAAAAAUCCUGAAGUAAGAAAAUUGUCAAUAUUAGCAGACCAAGGUGUUAAACUAAGAGAAAAUAAAGAUUCAUUAGAAAAGUAAUAAUCAAUUGGUGUGAUGUUAGAUAUCGAAUCUAUUGUCAAUUUUGACAAAUGAUCCACAAUAAUAUUUUCGGUGCCUUUUUCGUCCUCGAUUUCUUCCCGUUUGAAAGUUUCAAAGAUAGAAUCGUGAUUGACUUCCCUUUGUUUGGUCAUGGCAUGAAGAAAUGGAAGUACUGGUGGGGAAUCAAUCUUUUCUUUGCAAUGUUCAUGUUUAACCCCUUCCUUACCCUUAGAGAUUGACUCAUCAUCUUUCUCAUAAGGUUCAUGAAUGGGUUUUUCAAUAACCUUACCACUAUAGAGAGUAAUGACUAAUUAGACUUGAUCCAUGUGUUGGUUUCUAGAACUACUUGCAUUUGCAUUGUAUUUCCCCUUGGGAUUUUGCUGUGGUUAAGAUGGAAACUUACCUUUGUCCUGAAAACCGAGAGUAGAUGUGAAUUUUGUAAGAGUAUCUUUCAAAUCAGCCAUAGUUUGAGCAUUUUGAGUGUUGAUUGUCUCUUGCUUUUCAAUGAAUGAAUGCAAUGUUUCCUCAAGAUUUUUUCUAGUAGGUGGAGCAUAAGGAGGUUCAUAUCCAUGAGAAUUUUGGAAAUUAUAGGGUGUUUGAAAUGGUGGUUGUGAAGUUUGUGCAUUAUUGUUAUCACUCUUCUAAUUGAAAUUUGGGUGAUUUCAACAACCAGGGUUAUAUUUUAUGAGUAUGAGUUAUGAUUGGGCCUUUGAAAAUUGUUUAAAGCAUGAUUUGUUCAUGGAGGUAUUCCUUGAAAGAAGGUGGAGCAUAAGGAGGUUCAUAUCUAUGAGAAUUUUGGAAAUUAUGGUGUUCUUGAAACGGUGGUUGUGAAGUUUAUGCAUUAUUUUUAUCACUCUUUCAACUGAAAUUUAAGUGAUUUCUCCAACUAGGAUUAUAUGUUUACGAGUAUGGGCUAUGAUUGAGCCUUUGUAAACUGUUUAAAGCAUGGGCUUGUUCAUGGAGGCAUUCCUUGAAAGAAGGCAAAGUUGAACAAUCAUUGGUUGAGUGUUAUUGGUUUCACAGAUUUGACACAUAAUGUCUUGAACAUAUUUUAAUUAACCACUCCUUUUUUUAUUCUAGUGCCUUGACUUUUCUAGCUAAAGAUGCAAAUCUAGCUUGGAGGUCAUUAUCUUCCCUAAGGUUGUACAUUCCUCUACUAGAUGUAUGAGGUUGAGUUUUACUUGGUGCCUCAUAAGUGCUUGUAGUGUCCCAAUUUUAAGCAUUUUUAGGUAGUAAGUCUAGGUAUUUCAUUGCUUCAUUAGGGUCUUUAUCUUCAAAAUUUUCAUUGCACAUCAAUUCCACCAUUUGUCUAUCUUUAGGUGUUAACCCUUUAUAAAAAUGAGAAACCAAUCUCCAUGUUUCAAAACCAUGAUGAGGGUAAGUAUUAAGCAAGUCUCGAUACCUAUUCAAACAUUGGUAAAAUGUUUCUCCUAGUUUUCUAGUGACAGUGGUGAUUUGUCUUUUGAAAAAGUUUGUUCUAUGAGAUGGAAAAAACUUCUUUAAAAAUUGUUGUUGCAUUUCAUCCUAAACACGAAUGGAUCCUGGUCUUAAAUUUUAUAGCCAUGUUUUAGCUUUAUCUUUUAAUGAAAAAAGAAAAAGCUUUAAUUUAAAGGUGUUCAUGCUACAAUUUGAGUCAUUAUAAGUGUUACAAACUUCUUCAAAUUCUCUCAAAUGCAAGUAUAGAUUUUCUAGUUCUAAGCCAUAAAAAGAAGGUAAAAGUUGAAUAAUGUCUGGCUUAAAAUUGAAGUGAGAUGCAUUAGGAGGGAAAACUAUACAUGAGGGUGCACUUGUUCUUGUAGGAUUCAUGUGGUCUCUAAGUGUUCUAACUCGAUUAUUCACAUUAUUCUCAUUAUGAAGCGACUGGUUAUCUUCUUCGGCCAUAUUUUCUGAAAAUGAUGAGGAUACCCUACAAAGUCUACCACUUAAUGUAUGUGACCAAACUCUCAUGCACAUGUAUGAAAAGGAAGAAAAGAAAAGAAACAAAACAAAAAGAAACAAAAGUUAGAUAAAAUAAAAAGUGAAAAGAGAAAAUAAAAUAGAUAUUAUAAUUUAUACAAGAAUUUACCUCCCCAGUAACGGUGCCAAAAACUUGACACAAUCAAAGAUUUGAUGUCUUCUCCCAAGUGCAAGAGUGUCAAAGUAAUAAAUAACCCGACAAGAUCAGGGUCAAACAACAGGGAGGUUAACUAUAUAAACUACAACUAAAGAAAUAGAUAAUAACAAAAACGGAGUUGAAGAGAGCUUUGAGAUGUGAUAUUGAUGUAAGGAUUUAAACAAAUAUCAAAUAAUUGUCAAGGUUAGAGAAUCCAUUAAUGGUAUUUCAAAUAAGUAUAAUAUAAACUCGUUUUAUUUUUCAACUGGAAACCAUACAUAAAGGAGGUUCCAAUCAUAUUAUAAUUUAUUAAUAUGAUUAUAUUAAUUAUCUUAUUUGAGUAAUGCCAAUAAUUGUAAAUUUUGUCAGGUAUUCAUGGUGAUAACUUAUUUUAAAAACAAAUCAAGUUCCUUUCAUAGCAUAGGUGUCGGUUAUACCAUACAGUUGGGCUAUGAAAGUAUCAAGUAUUUGUUGAACCAAGGGUUGUUCAACACAAAUCUAGAUUAAACAUUUAACAAACAAGGUAUUAAGAGUGAGUAAGAUAAUAAAUACAAAAUAUGUUAGUAUCAAACAUUAAAGUCCAUGUUGAGUUUAUAUUAUACUUAUUCUUACACCAUUAGUGUCCCCUUUUCACCUUGACAAAAUUAACUUAGCUAAAUAUUAUGAAUAAGAGAAACAUAGAUAAACAAGAUAAGAACAUAAUUAUAUAAGUAUAGUAAAGGAAAUGAAAAGCAUAAACAAGAGAUUAAGAAAAAUAUAACAUGGAAUAAAACUUGAACAUUAUAAAAUACAAAGAAAGAGAGCAAGAGCAAGAUCUUGAUCUGAAAACCAAGAUGUCUAAAUACAUGGCAAAUGCCUCCUUUUAUAGGCCAAAAUUCGGAACUAUUAAUUUGAUGACUAAUUGUCGAGUGGGUGGCUACAUCUUGACUUGGUGACAAUCCUUAUCUUCUUGUCUGAACAAAACAUCAUUGCUAACGUCGGAAUUUGAACAGAUAGUCUUUAUCAAAGUUCUAGGAAAUUGUCUCAGCUUUCCAACCAAAACAAAAAAAGAAUCGGUGCAUUUGGACUUCUAGAACUUGAAAUAUAGGUUGAACAUUGAACAAUGUCUAAGUUAUAGGACAGAUUCUGACUUCUCCGUUGUUGCUAUAAUUUGAACUUGAAAACAACCUUUUUGAAUCUUGGACUCUUCAUGAAAGUUUUAGGCAUAUGUCUUAGCUUUCUGUCCAUAUAGACCAGACCUAAAUCUGAGUUCUACAACUCCAGGUAUGAUCCAAUAACCGAAUAGUAUUUCAGUUUGGACUGAACCAACAUCUCUUUUCUAAGCUUGUCCCUCUCUUUGUCUUCUUAAUUUCAGUAGUUAAACUCAUCAAUCAAUCCUUUGAUUUUGUGAUAGGCCUGCAUUUAAGAUGAACAUUUACCAUAAAUUAAAGGUAUCUUAUAGUAUCAAACUUGUUAUUAUAAGACAUGCUUUAGUUAAUGAGUUAUUGAUACUUCAAGUGCAAAAUGAUGAUAUAAAACCUUGAUAAAAAUGCACUUUUAAGUACUAAUUACUAUAUAAGUUCUAGAUUACUAGGUAGGGAAUACAUCAUUUGAAAAGGGAAUUAAUAAGAAACAAGUGAAGAGAUUAUGAGGGGAAGAGAGGGAGAGGGUCAGUUGGUAUGCAAAGAGGGAGGAGCUAAAAUUUUUCAACUGAUUAAGAAUUAAAAUCCAAAUUAUCAUUAGGUAGGGAACCUUAAACCUAAUUAUAAAAACCAAUUUAAAUUUGAUGAGGAAUUGUGCACUAAUCUUGAAUUGAAAUUAGGGUUCUUGAGUAAAAUUGGGGAAAAUAUGGAAUUGGUUGAAAUUGGGUUAAUUAAAGUACUGUAAAUUACUUUGAACAUGAAAUUAUAUGGAAAUAUCAUAGAAAAAUCAAUGGUUAAAGGAAAAAGAGUGGCCAACCAUUAGGCCAUUAGGGGAAUGAAUGAGAGGAGAAGAAUUUAUGAUUUUAUUGAUAAAGUCCUUAUAAUGUGUUGUUAUAAUGUAAACAAUGACUAAAUAAGAUAAAUGAUUGAAUGAGAAGGAGAAGGGGACCUUUGGUUUCUUUAAACCAUGUUUUGGCGCAUGAGAAGAAAGAAAUAAACGGGUUUUUGAUGAAAAGUCUAGAGGAGUUGAUAACGUUUUCAGGAGAUUUCAAAUCUUGUUUUAUAUUGUGUUCCAUUUUCAUGAAAAAGAUCACCUUCAAUUGGCUAUCGGGUGAACAUCUUGGAUGGUUGGCUAUAGGUCUCAUAUUUGGGUAACAGGAGCUAUUGCAAUAGUUUUUUUAUGUUGGUAGUAGUCCACACCUAGUUGGCAUGGUUCUCUGCAUGGUUCAUUUCUAGUUCUUCAUGGCCAGUCGCUCUCAUGCUUAUUGUCCGCUCUCUGCUUCGGUUUUGCAUGGUGCAGUUUUGGGCGUGCAUGGUGAAUUUUUUGUCUUGCAUGCAUUUCUACGUGCUGAAGAUUGUUGUUGGGCCCACCACUUUGUCUUGCAUCCUCCCUGUGUUUGGUGCUCACAGUUUUCUCCUUGUGCUUCGUCGCUAAAUUGUUGCAUGGCUUAUACAUAUUGUCUUCAUGUUUCACUAUAUGCUGUUGGGCCCACUUCCUUCUAUCCUCGGGUGAUACGUGGUCUUCAGCAUAUGGCUUCGGGGCUUUUUGUGUUAAGGGUGUUAGCAGUUAUAUGUUUAUGGUCUAUUCUGUUGGUUUGUUAAUGGCAUUUGCUUUCCUUGGUUAUCCUUGGCACCUGUAGUAUUUGGGUUCCUAAAAUAACUGAUGGCCUGUUUCUUUAUAUUGUAUUUUUUCUUUGUGCUAGCUGGCAGCCUGUUCCCACUGGCUUGUUUUGUACAGGUGUAAACUUGGCUUGCUAGUUUUCCAGUUAGUCUAUCUUUUUUAUUUAUAAAAUUCUAACAUUUGAUAAAAAAAAAAAAGAUUAAGAUGGGAGCGAGGCGUUUUGAGAUUUUAUAUGUUAAUUGUGGGUAAAUUCGGUAUGGUAGAAAGUUUAUUAACAAGUGAAGCAUGAUAAUUUUAUAGCAAGGGAAUUUUAUAAAUUGAAUGCAUGUGUUAUGUAAGGUAGAAAUGAGUUUAUUGGUUAUAAUUUAUAGCAUAUGGCUUGACUUAGGAGGAGUUGCAGAAUGUAGGAAAAUAUGGAAUCCAAUAAUGCAUUUAUUUCUUGAAAUAGUUUUUGAUCACUUUAGAUAAAAAUGGGCAAAUUAGCUUAAGCGAUCACUAGAAGGUCAUAUUUGGGAAGGUUACCAUGCCAAUAAUAUAUAUCGCACCCGACAUUGCAGCGACCUUUAAAGUAUCUUUAAAUGAAAAUAGAAGAGAUUUCUUGCAUCUUAUUUUUAUAUAGGGGAAGGUCUAAUGUAAGGAGUUACCACCUUAUAUUAUGAUCACUAAGAACCUUAACUAAACAAUAGAGAUCGUAUGGUACAAGACUAGUUACGCAAACGAGAAGAUAUUAUUAUCCCUUAAAUGUCCUAUCUGAGGCAGUGAUGCGAUCCAACCAUCAAAGAAUCCAUUGGAGGUUCUAGUUGGUCCAGUUAUUAGGCUUAGGGCUAAGAAUUUCAAAGAAGCUUUCAAUGAACUUCUUCAAGAUACAUGGGCUAAGGUGGACUUCAAGUGGAUUUAUAAUAAUAAAGUGCAAGUCUUGAUUAAUCUGAUUCAUGUUCAAGAGGGGCUUGUUGGUGGAACCAAGACCAUUACACAAGGAUUGGGAGAAGAACACUAGAUUCGAAUAGUUUGACCUUUCAUUACUCUUUUGGUCAUAACUAGAGUUAUAGAUCUAAUUUUUAUGUGAUUUUAGUUGGGUUGGAAAUUAGACUUCCAUACCUUUCCAACGAUAUAUGCCACCUCUUCUAAUUCAUUAAGAUGAGAGAGAACGAUCCAUUUUAAGUUGGGUCUUCUUGCUGCCAGACAAAAUAUGGAAACAACGAACUUAUCUUAUUUAAUUAGUUGGGCUAUCAAACUUUAUUUAUUUUGAGAGGAGACAAUUUUUUUGGGCUUAGACUUGUUUAUUUUGUUUAUUUUAAUUAGUUUGGGCUAGUUUUAGCUUGGGUUUGUUAUUAUUUAAAUUGGGUUUAUGUGGGACCCAUUAGGAAAAUUAGAGUUUUGGCUUGGAGUUUAAAUACUCUUUAGGAAUAUUUUUAGGUCGGACUUUUGAUGAUAUUUUCAUAAUUGUAGCCGACUUUUGGUUGCUCAAUCUUGGUUCUUGAUUGAACUUUCAACUUUUCAAAGAAUUGACUAUUCUUUGUUGUGAAUUUAUACUUCCUUUGCUCGUCUCUAGGUGUAGGCGUUGUGAUUUAGUUGUUUAUAGUCUUGUUGCCUUGGAGCAAGUCUUCCAUUGUGAUAAGCUCAUUCAAAUCUCAACAAACUUGGGUUAGGUUGAUCUUGGAGUUGCGAAUACCAUUAAAUUCCACUAGGGUUCGCAUCAGUUGGUAUCAAAGCUGAUCUAAUCAUAGGUUAUAUCCUUCAAUUUGAGUCUUUAUUGUUUCUUGUUUGAUUCUUGAUAGAUUCGGCCACCUAUAUAUAAAUAUAUAUAAUAAGGAUCUUACUUUUUAUUGCUUUGUUGAACACUUAAUCAUACGUUAAUGUUAUUUUGAUGCUUUCUUGAUCAAAAUCAGCAUACACACCUAAGUUCUUGAUUUUGCUUUGUUCUUGCCGAAAUAUAUAUAUAUAUAAAAAAGGAGGCUUGAUCAUGAAAUCUUGAUCAUUGGGAAAUUGGUUAGUCUUGAUUCAUGAAUCUUUUAGUAGUCUUGUUAGUGUUUCUUGAAUAUUUUGGUAGUUUAGUUGAUUUUCUUGAGUUUUUGGAAUUUUCUUGAAUUAUAUCCUUAGUUCUUGAUAAUUCGUAAUUUUUUUAGCUCUUUUCUAAUUUUUUUAUUUUGUGUCUUCAAAUCGUCAUAUUAUUCAUACUGUCGCGGGGUGCGAGCGACGUCAUCUAGCAACAGCGGAGGCUAUUGUCGUGCCUCCUGUGUGAGAUCUUGUGUGUUGGGAAGGAUUUUUUGAUUUAAUCAUCAAAUGACAAUUAAUGUUUAGGAGUCGCCACCUAAUAUUAUGGUCACUAGGAACCUAUGGUCUGCGAGAGUCUAAGUAAGGGACUGGUUGUGCAAGGGGAAGACGCAUCACCCCCAAUGCACCCUACCUAAGGUAAGUUGCAUUGUUGUUUGAUUGUUUUUUCCUAGUUGGGUUGGUCUUUUCUAAGGUUCAAGGCAAAUCUCUAUUCAUGAGAGAGUCUUUGCCUUAUCGGGUUAAAUCCUAACCAUUCUAAAGUCUAAAUUUUAGAAUCGCAUUUAUUUACACAUUGUAUCUUUAAUACAUAAGGGUGUACUUUACCGUGUAAUUUUACACCCCUCAAAUAUUAAAGUCUACAUCUAGACCCUAAAAAAAAGAUUUGAAAAAGGUUUUUGAUAUUAUGAUCAAAUCCUAAUGGAUAAUCAUAAAUUGGUUACGAUAUCCAUUUUUUAAAAAAUAAAAAACAAAAUAAAAAAGAUGCAAUUUGUUUUUUUUAUGAAAAAUAUGCUUGGAAAUUUUUUUGAAUUUGGCCGUAUACAAUAAAAUAUUUUUUUUCUUUUUGAAUUUUUUUUUAAAUAUUUCCGACAAAACCAGAUAUUUUAAUACCAGAUUUGUAUUUUAUAGUGUAAAUAUACAAUCCGAUAUUAUGCAAUAUUGGUAGAAAAAUAUGUGAGAAAAUCACAUUUUUUUAAAUGAUUGUUUUGAAAAUUUUUGGGAAAAAAAAAAAGAAAAAAAAAAGGUAUAGUCCACUGCAUAAACAGUGGACGUGAAUUAUAAUUCACUUGUAAACAGUGGAACGUGAAUUAUAAUUCAUGUUCCACUGUUCAAAACAGUGGAACUUUCAUGGGGAAGACAAAGAACCAGGGGAAGGUUGGCAGACCACCUGGCAUGGCGGUGAUGGCUGGCUGGCAGGGGAGGACGACCUGAAGCCGGCAAUGGAGUUAGCUGCCUGAGUUGGUGGAGCGGCUGCAGCUAGGAAAGGAAGAAAUCUGCAGAGGGGAGAGAGACGCUCACGGUGGCUUAUUACAGACGCAGUGGUGGCUGGUCGGUGGUCUUAGCAACACGUGGUGGUUCUGUUUGCUUGAGGCGGAGCUGGAGGAAGAGAUGUUGAUGGCGUCCGUUUCCUGUGGCGGAGGAAGAAAGAAGCAGAAAAAUAAAAUAUGCAAUGGGGAGAGGGAGGAAGGCUGGUUUUUUGGCUUACUUUGGACCCGAUUUUCUCCUCUCUCAGGCCACCAAAUCCACCUCUAAUUAUAGGCGAUAAAAGAGGGCAAUCUUGUCUAAGUUGGGAAAAAAAAUUCAGCCCUUAAUUCACUUGGGAAGGAUCCCAACCGUUGGCUCAAAGUAGGCAUGAUGCACUGUCAAAACUGCAGAAACGGCUACCUGAGUUGGCAUGUUUAGGUCGGGGCCGACACUGUCUCGCUGCCAUAAAUACUAAACUGUUUUCUUGAAGCUGUAGAAAAAUUGCAGGGGAUCAUUUGCAUGCAAGAUUUGUCAACAUUGGUGGGUGAUAGGUACACUAAAUGCAGCUGCAAAGUAGGUAACCAGACCAGCUUUUUUCAGAAAAAAUGAAGAAGAUAAUGAACAGUUUUUUGGCCAAAUUUCAUUUCAGUCCUCCAUCUACCAAUUGCUUUCAAUGGAACCCCUAAUUGACCCUAAAAUUUUGAUUUAAUGCAAUUAAGACCCUGCAAAAUUACUGUUUGAUCCUCGGAUUUACGUGUCGUUUGCAAUAUGGUCCUUGGUCUUAGAAUUUGUCAAUUUAACCCCUAAUUGACCAUCAAACUUUCAAUUGCUUCCAAUUUGGUCCCCUAAUUUCAACCAAUUAACUUGGUAAAAAUUAAAUUUGGUCUCUUAAAAUUCCAAUCCCAAACUUAAUUUUUCACCAAUUAAGCCUAAAAUAAAAUUAAUUUGACCCAUUUAAAGUAUAAUCAAGUCUUUAUACUUAGUUAAAUCCUUCAAUUGGACCCAAAUUAAUUCUUAAACAUAUUUAAAAUUUAAUUUGGCUCAUGAUUAAAUCAAAUUGGCUUAUUAAAAAUUUAAUUAUGUCCUUGGACUUAAUUUUUCACUAAUUAAGCCCCCAAAUAAAAUUAAUUUGACCCGUUUCAAGUACAAUUAAGUCCUUGCACUUACUUAAAUCCUUUAAUUGAACCAAAAUUAAUUCUCAAACAUAAUUAAAAUUCAAUUUAGCCCAUGAUUAAAUCAAAUUGGCCUAUUAAAAAUUUAAUUAUGUCCUUGGACUUAAUUUUUAUGCAAAUUCAUCCAAUAAUCAUUUAAUUUGACCUUGAAUUUGCAUUGUUUUCUCCAUUUUUGGGCAUAAUGGGGUACAAUUAGGCCUUGAUUUUUUUCCAAAAAUUGCAGCUUGAUUUUUUCUAUUUUCGUAGUCCUCCUUGAUCUGCUUUCUCCACAUUGACAACCUUUAUUUUAUUUUUGGAUUUUGAAAAAGAAGUUAUUUUUGGGGAAUAACCCAGAAUUGGGUUAUGACACAUACAACUGUGCAUUGCUAUUCGUGAAUUUGUCAUCGAGUUUUGGUUUGUUAGUUUUUAAUUUUUUACUUCUAGAGCCUAUAUCAAAUUUAUAAAGUCACUAGAUAGUUGGUUGCUUUUUCUGAAUUGUUGCUAAGUGAUUUCAAGAAAUAAAGAAAGGCAAUUUAAGUGUGGAAAAAGGCAUAAAGAGUAUAUUCGAGUGAAAAACCUAUACAUUUGUGUGAAACACGAGUGUGUGAGGUGUUAUUUUUAUUGCUAAUGAUUUCGUGCAUGUUUUAAAAAAAAAAAUGUCUUCUAACAGUGUGCCAUGAAAGAAGGGUGAAAUCCUAGAAGAUGGGAUUUCGAGAAUACAACAACAGAUGGAAUUUAUGUUUGGUGAGCUGAUGACUAGGAUUGAAAAAUUAGAGACUAUGUCUGAUGGAGGGCGUAGUAAAAGGGGUAGAGAAGUUAGGAAGGAGGAAAGUGUUGUUGGAAACUCUGCAGAUGAAGCCUAGGAUGAUCUUAACCAUGGUGGUGGGUUUCGUACACGUAGGGGAUAGAGGUAUGAGAAUUGAUCAUAGAGGGGACAUAUUUGACCACAGGGAUUUUGAGCAUAGAGGAGAUUUUGAUGAUUCGGGAGAUAUAGACCGAAAUUUGGGUAGUAUUAAGUUAAAAAUCCCAGCCUUUAAGGGAAAAACUGAUCCGGAAGCUUUUUUAGAUUGGGAAAAAAAGACGGAGAUGAUUUUUGACAUCCAUAGGUACUCUGAAGAAAAGAAGGUUAAGUUAGUUGUAGUGGAGUUUACUGAUUAUGCCAUGGUUUGGUGGGAGAGAUUGGUAGUAGAAAGAAGAAGGAAUAGAGAAAGACCAGUUAGCACAUGGGAGGAGUUGAAGACAAUAAUAAAAAAGAGGUAUGUUCCUAAAUAUUAUUAUCAGGAGUUGUUUAAUCAUUUACAAAUGAUUACAUAGGGUAAUAAGAGUGUGGAGGACUAUCAGAAAGAAUUAGAGGUGGCUAUGAUUAGAGCUAAUGUUAAUAAAGAUGAGGAAGUUAUUAUGUCUAGGUUUUUGAAUGGCUUGAAUAGAGACAUAACUAAUGUUGUGGAGUUGCAAUCAUAUGUUGAUAUAAAGUGUUUCAAGUGUCAUGGAUUGGGACACUAUGCAUCAGAAUGCGUAAAUCGUGGAGUUAUGAUUCUAAGGGAUGAUGGAGAGAUUGUGUCCACUAGUAAGGACUCUGAUUGUGAUGACAUGCCCCCACUUAAGGAUGCUAGUGAUUUAGAGUAUGCUGUUGGUGAUAAAGUUUUGGUGAUUAAAAGGUCAUUAGUGUUCAGACUUAGGAAGAUGAUGUGGAGCAACAAAGGGAGAACAUCUUCCAUGCUAGAUGUUUAUUCAACGAUAAGGUAUGUUGUAUGAUCAUUGAUAGUGGUAAUUGUAUUGUUACUAGUGUUACUUUGGUUAGAAAGUUGGAAUUGAAUACCAUAAAGCAUGAGAGGCCUUAUCAACUUCAAUGGUUGAAUGAAUGUGGUGUUGUUAGGGUGAAUAGACAGGUGAUGAUUUCUUUUUUAGUGGGCAAAUAUAAGGAUGAAGUGUUAUGUGAUAUAGUGUUUAUACAUGCUACUCAUUUGUUACUAAGGAGGCAUUGGCAAUUUGAUAGAAAAGCCAAGCACGAUGGGUUUAAGAGCAGGUAUUCAUUAGAGAAGGAUGGAAGGAUUUAUACACUUGCCCCACUCUCACCAAAGCAAGUGUAUGAAGAUCAAAUUCAAUUGAAGAAGGGCUAUGAGAAAGAGCAACAUGUUUCGGCCAAAAUGGAAAAACAAGCUAAACAACAUGGUGAGGAUGUGAGGAAGAGAGAAAAAAAAGUGAGCCAUGAGUUGAAAGCAAAAGGGAAGAAAGUUUCGACCCUUAGGACAUUAUGGGAGGGUCAUGGCCAAUAACAAAAAAAAUGAAAAGAAGGUCGAGAGUGGAGAGAAAAUGAGUGGAGAGAAAAGAAGAGUGUGUAGAAAAAAUAGGGAAACACCUUAAUUGUUUUGCAAAAUAUAAUGAUUUAAACAUGCAUAUCUUUAUGUCUUGCCUAUGAUUUUACUAGUGUAGAAAGAGACAUUCUUUACUCAGAUGAUUUAGAUUCUUGUCUUCCUAGUGUUGUUAAAUUUCUUUUGCAGGAAUUUGAGGAUGUCUUUCCGGAUGACAUACCUAGUGGUUUGCCGCCAAUUAAAGGUAUUGAGCAUCAAAUUAACUUUUUUUUCCAGGAGCAUCUGUACCAAAUAGGUCGGUAUAUAGGAGCAAUCCUUAAGAGACUAAAAAGCUUCAAAGGAAAGUGUGGGAGUUAAUGUCGAAAGGAUACAUUCGAGAGAGCAUGAGUCUUUGUGUAGUUCUCGUGCUUCUUAUUCCAAAAAAGGACAAAACUUUGCAAAUAUGUGUGGAUUGUCGAGCUAUCAAUAACAUCAUUGUAAAGUAUCGACAUCCCAUUCUUGGAUUAGAUGAUAUGUUGGAUGAAUUACAUGGUUCUAAAUUAUUUUCUAUCCCUUUAUCACUCACCACAAAUCCCAACUUCCCAGAUUUCACCCUGAAUGAACAAUUUGCAAGGUUAAGCCUCAACUUAUAUUUCCUUAGUCUUUCAAAAAAUUUCUUCAAUAUUUGGACAUGAUUCUCUUCCUCUCUGGAUUUAGCAAUCAUGUCAUCCACAUACACUUCAAUCUAUUUAUGCAUCAUGUCAUGAAAUAGAGUCACCAUGGCCCUUUGGUAGGUGGCCCCGACAUUUUUUAACCCAAAUGGCCUAACCUUGUAGCAAACGGUUCCCCAUGGUGUUACAAAGGUUGUCUUCUCCUUAUCCUCUUGCGCCAUUUUUAUUUGAUUGUAGCCCGAAAAUCCAUCCAUAAAGGAACAUGUGGAGCUACGUGUCACAUUAUCAACUAACAUAUCUAUGUGUGGUAAAGGAAAAUUAUCUUUAGAGCUAACCCAAUUUAAGUCCCUCAAGUCCACACAAACUCUAAUUUUAUCUUCAUUUUUUGGUACAACCACUAUGUUGGACACCCAGUGUGGAUACUUGACUACUUCUAAAAAACCAGCAUUCCACUAUUAUUAUUUUUUUUUGCCUUUACUUUGAUUAAGACCUCUGGAUGAGUUCUUCUCAACUUUUGCUUAAUCGGCUUGCAUCCUUCUACUAGUGGUACCCUAUGUACUACAAUAUUUGUAUCCAAACUAGGCAUAUCCUCGUAGGACCAGGCAAAAACAUCUAUGUGAUCUCGGAGUAGUGCAAUCAACUCUUCUCUUUCUUUAAGGAUGAUCAGAGUCCCUAUCUUUAGCUCUCUCUUGAUUUCUUCAUUGCCCAUAUAUAUGGUGUCAAGUUCCUCUUUAGCAGGUUUACAUGCUUAUUCAUGUUGUUAUAUUAAUUUUUUUAAUUCUCUAAUGUUAUUUUCAUCCCAUUCUUCCUCUUCUACAGCUACUAUAUAUUCUUUAAAGUCUGGCCACUCAUUCUUAGUGUAAAGUGUAGGUGUUGUUGUAGAAGAUCCAUUUUCAGGGUUCAGUGAUAUGUAAAUUGCAUAGUAAGAAAUCAAGAUGAACUUUGAAAAUGCAUGAUCUCAUUAAAAGGAAAAGGUUGCCUAAAAAACAAAGAUAAAAUCCAAUUGUCAUCCCCAGCCUCAAUUGUCAAUAAUUGGAAAACAAAACAGAAAAAGGCAAACAAUACCGACAAUAUCAUAAUCUAACAAGCAUUGUUGAUUACAUUUUUAACACCAACGGAGCUUCUUGGGUCUCACAAUUCUAGAACUUCUCUCAUUCGACUAGCUUUCGAACAAAAGUCCUGGCGAUAACUUUUUCUAUAGUGUAGAUAGUUAAUUGCGGUAUCUCUUCAUCCUUUCUUCUAGAUUCAGUUUUCCUAGCAAUGCCUUUGACUUUAUCUUCCUCUAGAGUGUUUAUGUUCAUAGAAGAAAGCUUCUGAAGAAAGUUUUCAUCUCCCUUAUCAGGUUGCAUCACAUAUACAGCCUUUGGGAACGAAACCCUAAUUGGAGGGAUGGCUAAGUUUUCCUUUUCAGGCUUCCUUCCUUCAAUCCUAACCAUUUUCUUCUCUCUUCUUACACCAGUAGCUCGCCUGUAAUCCUCUUUCUUAGGCUUAUAUCCAAGCUUAAACCUCUGUUCUAUAGCUUUUAGCUUUAUUAUAUUAAUUCACUCAGGUUUUCCUUUUUCGAUGUCAUAUUAAAAAGGAAUCUUGUGCUUCAAAAAGCUUUUAGCAGCCAUUUUGGUGGCCUCUGAGAUCUCUGGUUUCCUCACCACAAUGUAUCAAUGGCCUUCCAAACAACAUACUAUAGGAAUGGUGGAUAUUCAUCAUUUGAAAGGUUACUAGAAAGACUUAUGGACCCACGACUAGUUCGACCUCAAUUGUCCCUAUCACUUGUCUUGAUGAGCCAUUGUAAGCUCUGGCUUUCAUAACACUUGGUUGCAUGUGUGAGGGAUCUACCGACAUUUCAUCCAGCAUAUGUCUUGGUAACAUAUUAAGGGCUGAGCUGUUAUCAAUAAGAACUUUGUCAAUGAGAUGAUAUUUGCAUCGGGCCGUGACCUAUAGAGGCUUGUUAUGUCCAAUUCCUUUAGCGUCAAGUUCAUCUUCCGUGAAAUACAAGUAAUUGGCAGCAUGGAUCCUCCCUACUAGAUGCUUCAUAGCCUUUUGUUCAAUAUCUUGGGGUACGUAAACCUUAUUUAGUACUUUUUACAAAGCAUUGCGAUGCGGCUCGGAGUUGAGUAUUAAUGACAUGAUCGAAAUCUUGGCAGGAGUCUUCUUCAGCUGAUCCACUAUACAGUACUCGCUAUGUUUCAUCAAUUUUAGGAAGUCAGUUGUCUCUUCCUUAGUCACGAUUUUAUUCACUUCAAGCUCUUUAUUAAAGUCAACAACCUCUUUACCCUUAGCCUUUCUUUGCUUCUAUAAUUGUUCAGGUGUGAAACAACGAACACUCCGGGUUGGUCCACUUAUCUCAGUUCAGAAUAAAGGCAAUGGAGCUUCGAUAUUUAAGGUAUAACCAUAAUUGCCAGGCAUUUUUUUAUAGUAUACUUUGUUUGCUCAUAAGAGCUUAGUCAAUAUCAACUUCGAGAGCGUAUUAGUUGUUGAUUGGACCCUACACUUCUCCAGAUUCUCUAUCAUCUUUAUCUCUUUAUUGUCCUUUAUAGCCUCAAUCCUUAGGUCUCCCUAGAGUCAGCAUUCUUCCAACCUUUUGAUGAAACUCAAUACAUUCAUCAAUAUGAUGCCUUUUUUUAUGGAAUAGGAAAAAGUCACUUUCCCUAUGUAGCAUUCAGUCGAUUUCUCCAAGUGUCCAGAUUGUAACAACAUAUCGUAUAACCUUGUCAUGAUCACUUUUAACACCCUUUCUUUUCUACCAACCUCCAUGGUAUUCACUCCACUACUACCAACAACAUGUUUGGGUAAAGGGUUUGAAUUCACAUUAGGUGAAUCCUUGAAAGUGACUCAUCCAACUUUGAUCAGCUGUAACACUUUCUUAAAAGUAAAGCAAGUCUCAAUGUUGUGACCCGCAUUACCAACAUGGUAUUCACAAGUCACCUCGGGGUUGUACCAGGUAGGGAAAGGUGGUUGCAUAGGUGGUACUAGUAAGAGAGCUAUUUACCCAAUACUUAGCAACUUGGCAUACAACUCCUUUAGGGUUAUUAGUAAAGGUAGUAAAUGUUCUUCUUGUUGUCGAUUGUCUUUCCUUUGGUAAUUGAUUUGGUUAUUUGGAUUUUGUCUGAUUUGGUUGGUUUAGGAUUGAGGUUUUGGAAAUUGAUACUGGUGACUUAGGAGGUAGGUGUUUAGUAGUUUUGGUAAUUCUUGCUUUUCCCUUUGUAUCAUGCCUUCUAGUUUAUCACCUAGUUUCCUUUUUUUUCCCAACAAAACCCCCUUUCUCUACAGGUUUUGCAAUUCUUCCACUUUGGAUUCCUUAUUCAAUCCUCUUGGCAAUCCAUACAACAUCAUAAAAAUGUUGGGCUAAGCUACCCAUCAAGUGCUCAUAAUAUAGAGCCCUAAAAGUAUUGGCGAAUAGGGUCACCAUUUUUUUUUUUUUUAUCAAAUGUAAGAAUAUAUUAAGAUCAAAGGUAACAAAGCCACAAAAGUAGCAAACAGAAAAUGUAUAUACAGAGAUGAGGGUAACCAGUACCCUAAAACUAAAAUGGGAACAUGCUCCCAUUGAAAAGAAACAUAAAACAAACAUCCCUAAGGCCAGAAGUAGCCACACAUAGAACAAACAUGAGGGACUUAACCAGCCAAUCCAAUGUACUGCCAGGCAAGUCAAUCUACUGCUAGUAGAGCCAAAACAAGCAGCCGAAAUCCAACAAAAACAUCCAGCUGCUCCUCUCCCAUGCCGAACCAAGUCAACAACAUAUAGCCAUCAUAAUUCAACAAACCACAACAGCUAAGAACACAGCCCCAAGGGCCCAUCAAAACCCCCCCAUGAAAUAAGGACCAACUAACUACGCGAAGCCAACAGAGGAUAGACCAUGUAGGGGCAAGAUAAACAUGCAUUUACAUUAAACUACCCCAACCAAUCCAAUCAGAAUGCAACAUUGUAAGCCAGGGGAUUUUUUUCAUGAAAAUACAAUAUAGUGUAAAAUAGAAUAUGAAAUUUUAUGAAAACAGCCUUAACCGAUUUGCCAGUGUUGUAAAAAAUUCUCAUGUUUCUUUCCUCCCAGAUCAAAUACACAAGAACAGCAAGAGAUACUCUUCUCAUUUUUGGUUGUAGCCUUUUUUUGUUACGAAGGUAGAAGAUUGACUUAAACAGAGGAGAGUCAGUUUUCUUGGCAUCCAAGGACCAAAUAGAGGCGUGGGCUAUGUAGUAAUAGCAUACCCAUCUAAUCCAGAGGGAAUCCGCCUUCAAAUGAAUAUUCCAAAGAUGCUUUGCAAAGAAACUGUCGUUUCUAGCUUUGAUAUCAUGAAUCCCCAGACCCCCUUCAUCUUUUGGCAGACACACCUGUUUCCAAGCUACAAGAGCCGAUUUAUUUCUAAUCAUAGUGCCAAUCCAUAAAAAGUUCCUGCACAAACUAGUAAUCUUGCUGAUAACAACAGCUGGGAUAGGGAAGAUACUAAUCCAAAACUGCACCAUGCCAUGCAGGACAGACUUAAUUAACUCCAGCCAACCUGUAUAAGAGAGGUACUUUCCCAUCCAAUUUUGAAUAGCAGAUUCUAACCUGUGGAUGAGAGGGGAGAAUUGGCUGGCAAGAAGCCUGUGGGGGCUGAGAGGGACACCGAGGUACUUAAAGGGAAAGCUUCCUUCAGUGAACUGGGAGAGGCUAAGAAUAUAGGGUCACCAUUUUUGUUUCUAUUAGUGGAGGUUGUACAUGGAUGGCUUAGUCUCGCCACCUUUGAGCGUAAGCCUUCACGGACACUUGAGUUUCUCUCCAUGAUAAUAAGACUGGUCCUAUCAGGCGCGAUCUCAAGAUUGAACUUGUAUUGCUUUAAAAAAGCAUCUGUCAGGUUUGCCCACUUCUUGAUCCUAGUGUUGUCUAACCUCAUAUACCAGCUGAGGGCAAACCCUGUUAGGCUAUCUUGAAAGAAGUAAAUUAACAUCUUAGCAUCGUGGAUAACUUCUACCGUCUUAUCAUAAUAUGACUGAAUAUGGAUAUUUGGGCAUUCCAUCCCAGUAUACUUAACAAACUUUAGCACCCUGAAUUUCUUCGGUAUUAUGAUGUUAGGCAUCAAACACACUUCACCUACCCUAAAUGGGUCAAAUAAAUCAUUUCCUUCAAUUGCCCCUAACCUCCCUUCUAGCGCAGUACACUUAUCAUACCCCAAAUCAUCAGAGAAUCUGACGUCAUAUGGAUCUUCAGUUGUUAAAUCCAUCGCAAUAGGAAUUUAGAUGGGCCGAGCGGGAUCAUAAUGCUUCUUAUUCAAUGUAUUUGCCCCUAUAUUCUGAGGUGCAACAAGGAUUUGAGCUGUUGGUAGUGCUUCACCAGGUUAAGUAAAUGUUCCCUCUCUAUCUCUUGCUCUUAACAUUUGCUUGAGCAAACUGGUUAGGUGCGAAACAUUAUUCUGAACUCCUUCAAGCUCUUUUUGGUAUGACCUUUCUUUGUUUUCCAUCCUCUUUCUUUGUCGCGUGUUGUGGAUUCUAGAAGGGGGGCCUAUGUUUCUCAGCCUGCAAAUGCAUGCACAAAUGUAUAAGAAAAUACAUGAUAUAAUGCAUGAUUGUGAUAAAAAUGCUUUGUAUAUUAGGUAUGGAUGCAGCCUUCCCAUGAACGAUUGAUGGCCACCACCUCAUAAGCAUAGGUUCUCUUGUCACAUUGCUUGUUAGGAGUAAUACCUUUCGAGUUGUUUGUUUUAGUAAGCUUGAAUCAUAUUCACCAAGAGACAGAUUUUGCACAAAAGAUGAGUCAAUACCCUUCUCAUUAAUGCUUGAUAAGUUCAUUACAUUUUUUGAGAUACAAAAUACAUUAAUCUAUUUCUUCUACCACCUCUCUAGCCAAAAGUAAGAAAACAAAGUCAUGGUUCUUAAUUUUUCCUAAAAAGGUAUCGGUUUCGGCUAAACUUCAGCGAUAGCAAAUGAUGUCCCCUCCUAGAUUUUGAGCAUUAAUUCUAACAAUCUGAGCAUGUGCAGCAGCUUCAUCCAUUUGCUCAUCCAUAUUGGUCAUCUCUUCUAUAAGCAACAUAUUGGUUUUGUUUAAAGUAGUAUUGUUGGCGUCGAUUUGAUCGUUGUGUUUUUCCAUUGCUGUUAGCUUUUCAUCCAAAUACUUCACCUUCUCGCGUUCUUUGUCAAGCUUUAUCCUCAGAACUUUCAUAUCAUUCCUCUUAGUCACUAACUCAGCCUCAACAACCUCGACAACCUCAACACAUUUUGUUUUAUUGAUGUAGUGGCCAACUAUUGAUUUAAUGGACUUGGUGGACAGCAGCACUCAAGCAUUUUGGCUGGAUGAAAUGACAUUGAUUCAAUCCGAAUUUGGCAAAGUGUUCUUCUUGAAAGUUGUUGAAAAUCAUCUCCUCUUUCCACCCAUAAAAUUUCAGAUCAUUUGGAUCACUAGAGAACGAGAUAUGGCUAAAAUACUGAGUAGUGCUUCUGGUGGACGUGGUGGACAACCCUCAAGCUCUUGUCUGGAUGAAAUGUCAUUGCUAACAUGAGGAUUGGAGCAGGUCGUCUUCAUGAAAGUUAUUGGAAAUUGUCUUAUCCUUCCACUCACCAAAGUUUACGUCAUUUGGCCUUUUAGAUCUCCAUCUAUGGGUAAAAUUCUAAGCAGUGUUGGGCUGGAUUGCAGGACAAAUUCUGACUUCUUUUUUGUGGCCAAACUUUGAAUUUUAAAAUGGCGGAUUUGGGUCUUUCACUAUUCAUGAACAUUGUAUGCCUAUUUCUUAGCUUUCUAACCAUAUAAACCAAACUGAAAUCCAAGAUCUAUAGCUCCAGAUAUGACCCAAUGACUUAACAGUGUUUCAAUAAUGAGUGUUUAAAAUCUCAUGAAUGAUUAUUUAUGUGGAAAUGACAUGUUUUUUAUACAAUGGUGAUAAAAAGAGUGAAAUAAAUGCAUGAAAAUGAUUGGUUGUGUGUUAGACCUAUAAACUAGAAAUCUAGAUAGUGUUAUUAUCUAAAUUGUGGCUAGAAAUUGAACUAGUUAAAGACAAAAUUUGAGAUAUUAUCCUUCAUGAAAGUUGUAGUUAAGAGUGUUAACUUUCUAAUAGGACUGCAUUUGCCCAAAUCAGAGUUAUAAAACCCUAAAUAUAGAUAAAAACUUGAAGGUAGGUCAGGUUGGAAAUUACUGGACAUAAUUUACAUCAAACCUUCAGUUGAAAUUUGAGAUUAGAAAAUAAAAAAAUUUAGGGUAUAUGUCUUCAUGAAGAAUAUGGUUAAUGAUGUUAGCUUUUGUAGGAAAUGAACCUUACCCCAUUUGGAGCUAUAAAGCUCCAAAUAUGGAUAAAACACUAGAGAAAUGACAAGUUGUAUGUUACAUGACAUAUUCACGUGCCAUUGUAUUUCGACGAAUUUAAGUGUUUAAACAACAUAACUGAGUUUUAAGUGUUUACACGAUAGAACUGAGUUUAAGCAUCCUCACUAAAGUUGUAUAUUUAUGUCUUAGCUUACUAAAGAAAUAAACCCCAUUUGAAACUGAGUUCUACAACCCUAGUGAGGAGGGAAACACUAAACAAUGUUUUGAUGUAUUGUUAUGAAUUGUUAAACACAAUGAGUCUAAGUAUAAAGUUUAUAAAAUAAGUGUUUCUUGUACAAAGACUGAGUAUGUGAAUUCUAAAGAAUGUACUAACAAAAAAUAUUUGUAUGGAUCAAGAGGAACAUCGGGGACAUGAUCUUCUGUUAGUGGAGCUCACUCGACCGACAAAAAUAGGUAAGUAAAGUCUUACUUACAACUUAUGACGUCGAUAUAAGUUUUUGAUUGUAAUUAUAAAUGUUAUGUAUGAAAAGAAUACAAAUGAAUUGUAAAUGGUGGUGUGAAACUAAUGUGGUUAAGUUGCUUUCACAAUGUACAAAAGUCAAUGUUGUGAUUGAGUUGCUUUUGCAAUGUACGAAAGCCAUUGUUGUUAUCAUUUUCAAAGUUUUCGGAAACUAAUGUUACUAGGUUGCUCUCACAAUGUACAAAAACCAAUGUUGUGAUCGUUUCUGAAGUUUUUUCAGAAACCAAUGUGUUUGGAUUGCUUUUGUAAUGUAUAAAAGCCAAUGUUGUAAUCAUUUUCAAAGUUUUUAACUCAAAAGGAAACAAGACCUUCAGAAUCUUCUGUCAAAAUAUUAAAAGAUAUGCUUAAUUUACCAAACUACAUCUUGAACUCUUUUUAAAUAUCUCAAACCUAAAAAAUUUAACCAAUAAUGAAAUAAUGUAAUAAACAUUAUUAGGCCAAGAAUAUUGAAAUAGUUACCCAAAUCAAUCCCCUUACUUCCAAAAAUUUGUUCGCGAGUUAACUCUAAAAGAUUGAAUGCUUCCACUCCAAAUGAAUACUUUGAAUAUAGCAUUGUCGCCAAUAUAUUACUAAGUAGCAUGUCUUUACCUUUGAACUUCAAAUUUUAAUUUAUGAUGUAUGCAUAUUAAAGAAUAAUCCAUAUUUAAUGUUAUAUUUUCAUUCCUAUAAAGUCCACAUAUUCUUUUACUUCAAACUUGAUCUCAUCAUCAUCUAUAACUUCUAAUACUUCAAUGUUUGAAUUUAUAUAUAAAAAAAAAACAAACAAACAAACUUCAAGAUAAUCUUUCAUAAUAUCUUUAGAAAAAUUAUUAGAAAUUAACAUGUCCUUGUUUGCAAGAUCUCCAUCCAUACCUGAAAGAUCUUAGUUUUCAUUGUUUUCUCUAACUUAAUAUCAAAAAACUGAAAUUGUUUAUCAACAUCCUUUUUGGUCAUGUUAUCUUCAACAUGAUUAAAUAACUUUGAAAUUUUAGUUUCACCAAACUUCGCCACACAUAACUGAUUAUCAAGUGGAAUUUCAUGAAAAGAUAUAAGGUAAGGUCGACCUCAAGGUAUGUCUCCAAACACAUUCCUUCCUCUUUGUGAUUCUUAUUUGCAUCUCUCAUUAGCCAAAUUGGAUUUGGAUCUAUUAUGGCUUGAUCCUAGCGAUCAAACCUCUAUUCUCAACGAUCUAGCUUCUACUUCUCAAUCCACACAAUACUCAAAAAGGUCUCCACUUUAAAUGGGUUACUAUCAUCUCCAUUCAUCAAAUAGGUCAGCCUAGCCUACUCUGAUACAAAUUGACAUGGUAUAUAAUGAGGAUAGAAGCUAAAGCCCUAAACAUUGUAGAUGAAUAAAGAAAAUCUCUGAUAUUUUAUUAAAAGUAUGAAUAGUGUGAAUGUUCUUACAAAAAUAAAGUAGACAACCUUAUUUAUACUAGUAAUAGACCUGGAAUGCUUGAAAGAAAAGAAUUCAUAAUUAAAACUUACCUAAUUACUAGAAUCUACAUCUAUUAAAUAGUAAAAUAUUAAUUAAAUUAAAAGUUUUAAUCUAAAUAAGAAAUAUAAUCCAAUACAAUAAAGUAAAUAAAAACAAUCAUGCAUAGUAACUUCUGGGCCUUCCUGAUCUUUAAUCAUCAUGAAAUUUUAACUCAAUAGAAAGCAUGACCUUUAGAAUCUUCUAUUAAAAUUUCAAUUUAAUCCAUCAAUCAUAUUAAAAGUUAUGCUUGAUUUACCAAAUUAUAUCUUGAACUUUUAAACUCCUUAAAAUCUAAAAACCUUAACAAUUAAUAAAAUAAUGUAAAAAACUUUUUUAAGCCAAGAAAGCUCCCCAUGUCAGCACUCCCACUAGCUAAAUUGCAAAUUCAUCCGCCCAACACGACCAUGGUCAACCAAAUGAUCAAAUUCACUAGUUCUCUUAGGUUAACUACAAUUGAUAAAUUGACCUACAAAAUGUCCCUCCUAGACAUCCACUGGGAACACCUCAGAUGAUGGACACUGUCACCCAAAUCAUAAUAAAUGAAAGGACCAACAGAAGCAGUGGCAUGAAUUAAACAGCUCCUAACAAGCCUCAAAUCAACCAAUCCCCUUUCUUGCUAGCCAUUUUUUACAAGCAAAGCUUUGCAUGAUUCAAACAUUUACAUUUUGAUUGCAUGCAAUAAGCCAAGAGAGAUUUGACCAAAGAUGCUAGAGAUCUCACUGAACUAUUUGUGCGACACAUUGGAAAAUGCUUCUAGAAAAUUUCCCACUUUUAAUUUAUGCAGUCAUUUGAAUGUUUCUAUGCAGCCAGGCGGUGCAUAUAAGUUUCAGUCCCCGAAACACGCCAUAGUUAGCAACUAUGUCCCUUCAAGUCAGUUGAGAAUUAAACAUUAUUUCACUUUGCGUAAAUAACCAAGAAAGUACUUUCCUACACAAGAUGGUCCAGGUUUAUGAGGUGAUGAACAUACUUCUGGACUGUCAGUGUUGAAACGAUCAUGCUCGAACCAAUGAUGACAGACUAAAAUGGAUCCCAAAAAGUAAGUUAGGUUCAAUUAUGAAAGGUUACACAAAACAAAGGCCUGGAAACCUGGCUUUCUGAGAUGAAACCAAUGCAUUUGGACAUAAAAGAUGGUUAUCACUGGAAUCACCCCAAUGAUUUUAACUGAAGUCCAAUGGAAUGGGAAUAUGAGAGGAAAUGAAGGUAUAGAACUCUUGGAUUUCCAAAACAAAAGAAAGUAAAGUUCUACGAAUUUAUAAUAUUAGUAAGAACCAAAAUAAUGUGCUCAUCAGAAUAGUUCAACAUGCAAUUGAUGCAAAAGUUGAAAAAUAUCUAAUGCCAGUUUUUCCCUUCAAAGCUCCAGGACUUUAUUUUUUCAACUAAAUGCUCUCAGUGUGAAGAACGGAACACUCUCAGGACAACCAAAACAUAUACUUGGGUAUGUUUAGCAGAGUUUAUUAAAAUUAAAAUAUGUAUAAUUUGAUUGUUUGCUAAUAUAUUGAAGAAUCAUAUCCACAAUAUAUCUUGCCACAACAUGAUAAUGGGAGAACGAAUGUGAUGGCCAGAAAACAAGCAAACAGAAACAAAUACAUUCCACACCUAUCCUUUGUACUCCAAAACAACUUUAGUGCUAAUAUUAUAGCAUCUCCUGGGAACCAUAUGUUACAGUCUACUUAUUGGCUUGCUAAGCACCAAAGUUUAUCCUUAGUCAGCAGGCAAAAGAUAGCGGGAUUCUUAUUAUCCAAUAAGAAAAAAAAGAUGAUAAGCACCUUGAAAAUCAGAAAAGAGUUUGCAAGGAAAGAUCACAAAGAUGGAAAUCUUUAGCACAGAAUGUAUGAACAUCUAGCUAUCCUAGUUAAUGAUUCCAGUUCAUGUAUUGAACAGUGUAAAACGCUCCAGUAUAACAAAGCGAAGACAAAGACGAUCUUCUUAAUUAAUCUCUUAUUAACCCAAGUUUGUGAGUUUCUGUUUAAUAAUAAUUUUACCAGGAAGAAAAUGUAGACAUGCAUUAAACACAGAAAAUAUAGAAGAGGCUGGGUAUCAUUUUGAUAUAAUAGUAUCAUUUGUACCUAACGUUGGAUUCUAGUACAUACUUUGGGAUCCAAUAUCAACCAUGUUGUAGUUGGACCCUCUCUGAGACAUAAAAUCUACAAACCAAUAAAAGCCUUACAAAAUCAACCGGUAUGGUUCCAUGCAGCCAAGGAAAGGCCCAACUGCAAACAACGAUCCACUAGAAAUAACAUGAUUUCCAUUGUCAACUGAUUUUGUUAAGAUUAACCACUAGUUCUGGUUUAAAGUACUGUGCUAUGGCAAGCACGUUGAUUUCCCCCAGCUCAGAAGGUUUAUGAAACGCAUAUUAAAGAAGAAGAAGAGCAUCAAAUGGAAAUAACAUAUUAAAAGACUAAUGUCUUAAACUUGAUAAGUCACUGUGUUAUUCAGCAAGGCAAUUGAUAAUUCAGAACUGCACCGUGUAUAUCUCUAAAAAGAUAUAAAAUUGUAAUUCAUAUUGAGCAGGAACUAUACAUACUGAAGCAGAAAUCCUCCAUUGAUUGUCUCCGCAAGUACUCAUCAAACAGUUGCUUUGCGCUGGAAACCAAUUCCAGGAUCAUCAGAGGAAGGGAAAACCAGGAAACCAGUGACCAUAGCAUCAUGUGGGCCACGGCGGC